UGAGCAUGAAUUUCUCUCCUCAGAAGAUCGCUGCAGCUGCGUCCGAAAGCUUUGAUGACUCUUUGUUCAGGGUUUCUCCUGAGAGUGAUUUG